GUUUUGAACUAUUACCUGGAGUGGAUGCAUUAUUGAUUACAAAUCAUCCACAUCCGAACUCAGUCCUUUGUCUGCACUGAGCUGAUCCUUUCUGUUGAUAAUAAACCUUCGAAACCUG